AAUUUAGUGAUUAAUGUCUUGAGAGAGAAUUAGUCUAAACUUGUGUUCAUGUUCGAGAACGGUUCUUUAUGCUGAAUUCUUUGUUUAUUAUUUCCAUUAAUCAUUUUUCUCUGAAAUACCCUAUUGCCCAAUGCUUUUUAUCAUAUAAAUCUAAUCGUUUACUUUCUUGCAUUUUAAUUUACAAUCUGAAAACCAAACAAACAACUUCUUCGCUUUAGCUAAGAACGAGUCUCGGAAAUCUUUAGAGUAUCUUUGGUCCUUGUGGAUCGACCUCGAAUAUUCUACUUAACGGUUAGAUAUUUCGGGUAAUUACUCGAGCAAUCACAGAGCAUAGACACAAAGGCGCAGACUUUGCAGCACCUUCUUUACUCGAUCCCCAAGAUCGAGUAUUCGCCCAAACCGCCUCAAGUCUUUUGUCUUCUAGUGAAUCUAGGGUUUCAACAUUUUACUAUAAAUAGAUCACUUUGGGGUUUGUCUAAAAGAUCUAUGCUUUAUCUUUCAGUUUUUCUUUGUGUUUAUGAAUCUUAAAACCUUAAUUACUCUUAAUCUAUUUCGUUUUUGCAUUUGAUUGUUUAAGUAAAGUUGUUUAGGUUGUUUAGAUCUACAUUUUGGUAUGAUUUCAGUAAUUUCUGGGUUUGUGUUCUUAAGAAUGUUGCUUGAGUAGUGAUUAGGGUUCUUGAGGAUGGAUUAGAUAAAGGUAAUCUCUAGGUUAGUUAGGUGGUUAGUGUUUAGGUUAAUACCCUUCUGGAUUCGCUUGGCCCCUAUGCGGUUUUCGCUGGCUAAUGUGGAGAUUCGAUCAUAGCGUCCAGCGUCCAAAAGACGUUCAAAUGGAUGUCUGACCUACGAAUUCCAGAGAUUUGUAGACUCGACCAAGAGAUUGGUUUGUCUGCAUAUUGGCUUUGGUAGAUUGUUUCUUAAACCCUGCUCUGCUAUGUUUCAUCAACGAGAGUUGAGAUUAGGAAGUGGUACUGUUAUUCGGGGUCUCUGUCACAAGAGUGGAUUGACCUGGUUUUUGAAUCUAUAAUCAUGGGUAUCUACCUUUAGCCGAUUAGCCAUCUGAUGAACCCUAGAGUUGCCCUUAUCAAUGAAUCCAUCCUUUGAACUUCUAUUAGAUUUAUUUGUAUCCCCGAUUGAUUGCACUUUUAUUUACCUGUUAUUUGUAUCCCCUGUUGAUUGCAUUUUAGUUCUUAAUUUUGUCACCUGUUGGUUCUACUCGACCCAAUGAUCGAGUAGGGCUCUUAAGUUCUCAUUUUUACUUGUUUGAAUCCUGACCUACGAUUGUUACUAGAAACCCACCAUCAUUAUAAUCUGGCUUGACUUAGUUGCUUCUGUACACAUCUUGAUUGCUAGCAAUACAUUGGACUGGUUGACACCCCCUAUAGCUGCAUCGACAUGUUUGUGUUUUAGGGGAAUUGAACUGAAUCACACAUUCAACAUAAGCAGGCUUGAAAAACCUGCUUAUCAUUUCUCUCCCCCAGACUUAUUCUUUUUAGAGAGUAAACAAAGGGGAACUCGCAUACUGGAUCGACACCCUCAGCAUUUUUCCAACCUUUGUAAUUGAUGAUUCCAAAUAAUGUAUAAUAAUGGGGUCAUAGGAAACAUUCCUACCCCUAUACACUAUCUAAAAGUCGUCUCAAUCUCUCAUUAUAUAUUUUU
rnacentral:sRNA from 1 species